UACGUAGGGGGCAAGCGUUGUCCGGAUUUAUUGGGCGUAAAGCGCGUGUAGGCGGCCAGGUAGGUCCGCUGUGAAAACCCGAGGCUCAACCUCGGGACGUCGGCGGAAACCAUUUGGCUAGAGUCCGGAAGAGGAGAGUGGAAUUCCCGGUGUAGCGGUGAAAUGCGCAGAUAUCGGGAAGAACACCCGUGGCGAAGGCGGCUCUCUGGGACGGUACUGACGCUGAGACGCGAAAGCGUGGGGAGUGAACAGG
rnacentral:rRNA from 1 species